CCCAUAGUCAUUAAUAAUCAUGUAGCUUUCUACAGAAAUAUUUACUUCAAAAUAUAUCAUCACAAAUAUAUACACUUGCUGUCCACAUAUUACUUGGAAGACACAGACUCUGAGGAAAAGAAGGUUCUUAGGUACAUAGUAUAACCAAGCCCCUAUAGAACAAAAUUUUAAUUUCCAAGUCCAAAAUACUGCAAGUAUAAGUGCUAAGGGUUAGAGAAAAACUCAUAGAUUUUCUUUAAGAGGAAAGGAGGAGAAUUUGUAUACAAGACCUGGGAGAGGAUUCUGGAAGGAUAGGAGGAUCUUGGGAGUUGACUUUUUAACUGUCACUCCUGAUUCUUGCUUUCAACUGAGCUGGAAGGAGGAUUUUUGCUCUUCCGGGAAGAUUUAGGGAUUUCUGGUUUGGAGAAUUGCCAUUGGAGAAGAUUGCCUUUCCCCUGGAAUACAGAUAUCAACCUGUCUGAGAGCUACAGGUCAAAGAUCAAUUUGGUGAAGACUUCCUGUUAAAUAUUGAUUCAUAUAUCGCUUAACUCAGCCAUGUAUCCCAGAGUGAUCUGUGUAUUGGGCAACACCCUCCUCAGGAGGAAGAGAAUUAAAAAGCAUUGAAUCAGACAGGGGACUAAUAUCUCUGACACAAUGGUUCUUCACUGAUUCCAGAAGAAUAAAACAUGUUUACUAUCACAGAGCCAAUCUAUCUAGCCUCCAAAUUUUCCCACCAUUGUGAUUUUUAAUUUCUCUCCAUCUUGCUUGGUCUAACACCCAGGAAUGUGCACACCCACAUUACACUAAUGGGCAUGUGCUACCAAAUGACAAAUCAGAAACAACUGACUGCCUUCCUGGGCUGUCCUAAGCCAAGCUUGAGCCACCAUUGGCACAUGAAAGAUGCAGGAAGUGAGGUAGAGAACUGCCUCUGGAGUUCUUGUGACUUCCUGUGGAGAGGGCUGAGCGCCAGUUCAACCCUGGAAUUCGAGCUUGGAGGAGCCCCUCAGACACCUUUCCUUCAAUCAGUCACCUGGGUCCUGUGCUACAAAGGAAAGACCACUGGAUUUUUAAUCAGUUUCCUACCAGAAUGGUCAAAAUAUUAGUUACAGAAUAUCAGUAGAUCAUAUCACUGGGAAGGAGGAUAACACGAUUUUUCAACUUUGCCAGUCCUCUGUUAACCCUUCAGUUUAUCAGAGCUGAAAAAAGAUGAUAGGACCGUAGAUUCACUUCAAAUCAAUAAACACUUAUUAUGUGCCA
rnacentral:lncRNA from 1 species